rnacentral:rRNA from 1 species
UGGAGGUUUAUCCCUGAUUCAGGAUGACCGCCGCAGCCCAGCCUAGUACAUGCAUUUCGUGCGAAUGGAGUGAAGAGCAUGCUUUUAAAAAAGUGAGCGGCGGACGGGUGAGUAACACGUGGGUAACCUGCCCAUAAGAGUGGGAUAACUCCGGGAAACCGGGUGCUAAUACCGGAUAACAUUUUGAACCCGCAUGGUUCGAAAUUGAAAGGCGGCUUCGGCUGUCACUUAUGGAUGGACCCGCGUCGCAUUAGGUAGUUGGUGAGGUAACGGCUCACCAAGGCAACGAUGCGUAGCCGACCUGAGAGGGUGAUUGGCCACCAUGGGAAUGAGACCCGGCCCCGAAUCCUACGGGAGGCAGCCGUAGGGAAUUUUUCGCAAAGGAAGAAAGUUUGACGGAGCAAAGCCGGGUGAGUGAUGAAGGCUUUUGGGUUGUAAAAAUUUGUUGUUAGGGAAGAACAAGUGAUAGUUGAAUAAGAAGGCACCUUGACGGUACCUAACCAGAAAGCCACGGCUAACUACGUGCCAGCAGCCGCGGUAAUACGUAGGUGGCAAGCGUUAUCCGGAAUUAUUGGGCGUAAAGCGCGCGCAGGUGGUUUCUUAAGUCUGAUGUGAAAGCCCCCGGCUCAACCGUGGAGGGUCAUUGGAAACUGGGAGACUUGAGUGCAGAAGAGGAAAGUGGAAUUCCAUGUGUAGCGGUGAAAUGCGUAGAGAUAUGGAGGAACACCAGUGGCGAAGGCGACUUUCUGGUCUGUAACUGACACUGAGGCGCGAAAGCGUGGGGAGCAAACAGGAUUAGAUACCCUGGUAGUCCACGCCGUAAACGAUGAGUGCUAAGUGUUAGAGGGUUUCCGCCCCUUUCUAGUGCUGCAAGCUAAA